CUUAACUUUAUUUCAGUACUGGAGCAGUCUCUUCACUGCAGACUGAUAACCCACUGAUUACAUCAUCAAUCUUGAUUACUUUGUCAAAUCAGAUGCCACUCGUAAAAAAGUACAAUGCAUGUGCAGUGAUAACUCUCCUCCAAUCCACUGAGAAGUACAGCUUUUAGCCGCGGCAUACAUUGCAUACCAACAAUGGAUGUAAAAUAGAUUCAAAUAGUGAAUCUAUUUCAGUCCGAUGCCCCUUGUAACUGUCUACUUGAUAGCAACUAGUAUGCAUGAAAACUGCAAAAUAUAUCCAGUGCCAUUUCUCAGAAGGC